rnacentral:tRNA from 1 species
GCCGGAGUAGCUCAGUUGGUAGAGCAACGCACUUGUAAUGCGUAGGCCGUGGGUUCGAGUCCCUCCUCCGGCU